GAUGAACGCUGGCGGCGUGCCUAAUACAUGCAAGUCGAGCGAACGGACGAGAAGCUUGCUUCUCUGAUGUUAGCGGCGGACGGGUGGGUAACACGUGGAUAACCUACCUAUAAGACUGGGAUAACUUCGGGAAACCGGAGCUAAUACCGGAUAAUAUUUUGAACCGCAUGGUUCAAAAGUGAAAGACGGUCUUGCUGUCACUUAUAGAUGGAUCCGCGCUGCAUUAGCUAGUUGGUAAGGUAACGGCUUACCAAGGCAACGAUGCAUAGCCGACCUGAGAGGGUGAUCGGCCACACUGGAACUGAGACACGGUCCAGACUCCUACGGGAGGCAGCAGUAGGGAAUCUUCCGCAAUGGGCGAAAGCCUGACGGAGCAACGCCGCGUGAGUGAUGAAGGUCUUCGGAUCGUAAAACUCUGUUAUUAGGGAAGAACAUAUGUGUAAGUAACUGUGCACAUCUUGACGGUACCUAAUCAGAAAGCCACGGCUAACUACGUGCCAGCAGCCGCGGUAAUACGUAGGUGGCAAGCGUUAUCCGGAAUUAUUGGGCGUAAAGCGCGCGUAGGCGGUUUUUUAAGUCUGAUGUGAAAGCCCACGGCUCAACCGUGGAGGGUCAUUGGAAACUGGAAAACUUGAGUGCAGAAGAGGAAAGUGGAAUUCCAUGUGUAGCGGUGAAAUGCGCAGAGAUAUGGAGGAACACCAGUGGCGAAGGCGACUUUCUGGUCUGUAACUGACGCUGAUGUGCGAAAGCGUGGGGAUCAAACAGGAUUAGAUACCCUGGUAGUCCACGCCGUAAACGAUGAGUGCUAAGUGUUAGGGGGUUUCCGCCCUUUAGUGCUGCAGCUAACGCAUUAAGCACUCCGCCUGGGGAGUACGACCGCAAGGUUGAAACUCAAAGGAAUUGACGGGGACCCGCACAAGCGGUGGAGCAUGUGGUUUAAUUCGAAGCAACGCGAAGAACCUUACCAAAUCUUGACAUCCUUUGACAACUCUAGAGAUAGAGCUUUCCCCUUCGGGGGACAAAGUGACAGGUGGUGCAUGGUUGUCGUCAGCUCGUGUCGUGAGAUGUUGGGUUAAGUCCCGCAACGAGCGCAACCCUUAAGCUUAGUUGCCAUCAUUAAGUUGGGCACUCUAAGUUGACUGCCGGUGACAAACCGGAGGAAGGUGGGGAUGACGUCAAAUCAUCAUGCCCCUUAUGAUUUGGGCUACACACGUGCUACAAUGGACAAUACAAAGGGCAGCGAAACCGCGAGGUCAAGCAAAUCCCAUAAAGUUGUUCUCAGUUCGGAUUGUAGUCUGCAACUCGACUACAUGAAGCUGGAAUCGCUAGUAAUCGUAGAUCAGCAUGCUACGGUGAAUACGUUCCCGGGUCU
rnacentral:rRNA from 1 species